UUAAGCGACUAAGCGUACACGGUGGAUGCCCUGGCAGUCAGAGGCGAUGAAGGACGUGCUAAUCUGCGAAAAGCGCCGGCGAGGUGAUAUGAACCCUUGACCCGGCGAUGUCCGAAUGGGGAAACCCAGUGUGAUUCGUCACACUAUCGUUAACUGAAUACAUAGGUUAACGAGGCGAACCGGGGGAACUGAAACAUCUAAGUACCCCGAGGAAAAGAAAUCAACCGAGAUUCCCCCAGUAGCGGCGAGCGAACGGGGAGCAGCCCGGAGUCUGAAUCAGCUUGUGUGUUAGUGGAACGGUCUGGAAAGUCCGACGGUACAGGGUGAUAGUCCCGUACACGAAAGCACACAUGCUGUGAACUCGAAGAGUAGGGCGGGACACGUGGUAUCCUGUCUGAAUAUGGGGGGACCAUCCUCCAAGGCUAAAUACUCCUGACUGACCGAUAGUGAACCAGUACCGUGAGGGAAAGGCGAAAAGAACCCCGGCGAGGGGAGUGAAAAAGAACCUGAAACCGUGUACGUACAAGCAGUGGGAGCCUCUUUAUGGGGUGACUGCGUACCUUUUGUAUAAUGGGUCAGCGACUUAUAUUCUGUAGCAAGGUUAACCGUAUAGGGGAGCCGAAGGGAAACCGAGUCUUAACUGGGCGUUAAGUUGCAGGGUAUAGACCCGAAACCCGGUGAUCUAGCCAUGGGCAGGUUGAAGGUUGGGUAACACUAACUGGAGGACCGAACCGACUAAUGUUGAAAAAUUAGCGGAUGACCUGUGGCUGGGGGUGAAAGGCCAAUCAAACCGGGAGAUAGCUGGUUCUCCCCGAAAGCUAUUUAGGUAGCGCCUCGUGAACUCAUCUUCGGGGGUAGAGCACUGUUUCGGCUAGGGGGCCAUCCCGGCUUACCAACCCGAUGCAAACUACGAAUACCGAAGAAUGUUAUCACGGGAGACACACGGCGGGUGCUAACGUCCGUCGUGAAGAGGGAAACAACCCAGACCGCCAGCUAAGGUCCCAAAGUCAUGGUUAAGUGGGAAACGAUGUGGGAAGGCACAGACAGCCAGGAUGUUGGCUUAGAAGCAGCCAUCAUUUAAAGAAAGCGUAAUAGCUCACUGGUCGAGUCGGCCUGCGCGGAAGAUGUAACGGGGCUAAACCAUGCACCGAAGCUGCGGCAGCGACACUAUGUGUUGUUGGGUAGGGGAGCGUUCUGUAAGCCGUUGAAGGUGUGCUGUGAGGCAUGCUGGAGGUAUCAGAAGUGCGAAUGCUGACAUAAGUAACGAUAAAGCGGGUGAAAAGCCCGCUCGCCGGAAGACCAAGGGUUCCUGUCCAACGUUAAUCGGGGCAGGGUGAGUCGACCCCUAAGGCGAGGCCGAAAGGCGUAGUCGAUGGGAAACAGGUUAAUAUUCCUGUACUUGGUGUUACUGCGAAGGGGGGACGGAGAAGGCUAUGUCAGCCGGGCGACGGUUGUCCCGGUUUAAGCAUGUAGGCGGAGGUUCCAGGUAAAUCCGGUACCUUGUUAACGCUGAGGUGUGAUGACGAGGCACUACGGUGCUGAAGUGAUAAAUGCCCUGCUUCCAGGAAAAGCCUCUAAGCAUCAGGUAACACGAAAUCGUACCCCAAACCGACACAGGUGGUCAGGUAGAGAAUACCAAGGCGCUUGAGAGAACUCGGGUGAAGGAACUAGGCAAAAUGGUGCCGUAACUUCGGGAGAAGGCACGCUGAUGUGUAGGUGAAGCCCCUGCGGGCGGAGCUGAAAUCAGUCGAAGAUACCAGCUGGCUGCAACUGUUUAUUAAAAACACAGCACUGUGCAAACACGAAAGUGGACGUAUACGGUGUGACGCCUGCCCGGUGCCGGAAGGUUAAUUGAUGGGGUUAGCUGUAAGGCGAAGCUCUUGAUCGAAGCCCCGGUAAACGGCGGCCGUAACUAUAACGGUCCUAAGGUAGCGAAAUUCCUUGUCGGGUAAGUUCCGACCUGCACGAAUGGCGUAAUGAUGGCCAGGCUGUCUCCACCCGAGACUCAGUGAAAUUGAACUCGCUGUGAAGAUGCAGUGUACCCGCGGCAAGACGGAAAGACCCCGUGAACCUUUACUAUAGCUUGACACUGAACACUGGUCCUUGAUGUGUAGGAUAGGUGGGAGGCUUUGAAGCGUGGACGCCAGUCUGCGUGGAGCCAACCUUGAAAUACCACCCUUUAAUGGCUGGUGUUCUAACGUAGACCCGUGAUCCGGGUUGCGGACAGUGUCUGGUGGGUAGUUUGACUGGGGCGGUCUCCUCCCAAAGAGUAACGGAGGAGCACGAAGGUUGGCUAAUCCUGGUCGGACAUCAGGAGGUUAGUGCAAUGGCAUAAGCCAGCUUGACUGCGAGCGUGACGGCGCGAGCAGGUGCGAAAGCAGGUCAUAGUGAUCCGGUGGUUCUGAAUGGAAGGGCCAUCGCUCAACGGAUAAAAGGUACUCCGGGGAUAACAGGCUGAUACCGCCCAAGAGUUCAUAUCGACGGCGGUGUUUGGCACCUCGAUGUCGGCUCAUCACAUCCUGGGGCUGAAGUAGGUCCCAAGGGUAUGGCUGUUCGCCAUUUAAAGUGGUACGCGAGCUGGGUUUAGAACGUCGUGAGACAGUUCGGUCCCUAUCUGCCGUGGGCGCUGGAGAAUUGAGGGGGGCUGCUCCUAGUACGAGAGGACCGGAGUGGACGCAUCACUGGUGUUCGGGUUGUCAUGCCAAUGGCACUGCCCGGUAGCUAAAUGCGGAAGAGAUAAGUGCUGAAAGCAUCUAAGCACGAAACUUGCCCCGAGAUGAGUUCUCCCUGAGACCUUGAGUCUCCUGAAGGAACGUUGAAGACGACGACGUUGAUAGGUCGGGUGUGUAAGCGCAGCGAUGCGUUGAGCUAACCGAUACUAAUGAACCGUGAGGCUUAACCUU
rnacentral:rRNA from 2 species